UACAGAGGGUGCAAGCGUUAAUCGGAGUUACUGGGCGUAAAGGGCGCGUAGGCGGUUUGUUAAGUGAGUUGUGAAAGCCCUGGGCUUAACCUGGGAAUGGCAACUUAAACUGGCGAGCUAGAGUACUGUAGAGGGUAGUGGAAUUUCCGGUGUAGCGGUGAAAUGCGUAGAGAUCGGAAGGAACACCAGUGGCGAGGCGGCUACCUGGACAGAUACUGACGCUGAGGCGCGAGAGCGUGGGGAGCAAACAGG
rnacentral:rRNA from 1 species